GAAAUUGCUAAGAAACAAAGACAUAUUUUGACUCAUAGACUGGCUGCUUAUUCAUUUUGGCAAGCUCUUACUUUCAGACUUCCAUUAAAAAAAAUUGUCUUAGAAUAAAUGCCUUAAUUUUAAAAUCCUCAGCGAAAAGUUGACAUCCAGCUUAGCACAGUUAAUGAAGAAAUCACACUAGUUGGGAAUGAAGUACCCCACUGAUAUGGAUGGUGGCACUUAGGGGUGUGUGAUUACAGUAAAGAGAUAAGAUAAAAGACAAGUGGGGGCAGAUGGGUGGCUCAGUGGAUUGAGAGUCAGGCCUAGAGAUGGGAGGUCCUAGGUUCAAAUCUGGCCUUAGAUACUUCCCAGCUGUGUGACCCUGGGCAAGUCACUUGACCCCCAUUGCCUAGCUCUUACCACUCUUCUGCCUUGGAGCCAAGACACAGUAUUGACUCCAAGACGGAAGGUAAGGGUUAAAGAAAAAAAGAAAAAAGACAAGCCUCAGAGGUUAAAUUUGACUUUGAGAAAAUAUAUGCUUUGAAAACGUUUUAGGUAAAAAGAAACUGGGAUCCCUAACAUGACCAAUCUGGAUGUUUUCAAAAUAUAUUGUGUAACACCUCAAUGAUUUCACGGAAAUGCCUUUAUUCUUGAACUCUCUGGUUUGUACCUAAUAAGGAAUCGUGUAUUGAGAUGGCAGCUGAAUCACAGGAGAUUGUGGGAGACACAGGUUUUUGGUAUUUAAAGGAAGUACAUUGCAUGCAGUGAAUAAGCAUUAUUCUGUCUGCUGAAAACCACAUGCUAACGAUUCUAGAUGCUUCAUCUCCAGAAUGCCUAGGGAAGAGCUGACUCUCUCUCAGUGCCCCCUGGAACAAAGGGUGCAAGACCACUUUGAAGUGUCAUAAGGAUCAGUGGGUAGUAAGAGGUUGAAGAGCCUCCUAAUGAUUUUGAAGCUCAAAGAAGAAUGGAUUUGUGAAUGGACAAUGAAGGACGCAAGAGGGAAACCUAAGGGCAGUAGCAGCAAGGCAGAAUCAGGAAAGACUUCAUGGCAAAGGUGCCAAGUGGGCAAAUUUUCAAGGAAAUGUGCUUGUAUGAAGCAGAGAAGAGGUAGAGGAGAGAUUAGACUUAUUCUGCUUGGCCCUGGGUGGACGUUUCAGAGAAACAGAAUUUACGUGGGCCCAAAGAAGAACUUCCUUGGUACAAAGAAAAACCAUUAGGGCUAUUCAGAAGUGGAACGGAUGUCCUUGGAAUGCUCAUGCUUCUUCUGACACCUGGCUGAUUCACAAUAUCUGAGCCUAGCAAGAUGAAAAAGUAUUGAGUUGUUUCCAUCCCUUUUAUUUAAUUAUCUGUCAGAUGAAGAAAUUGAGGAUCAGAGAGGAUAAAGGACUUGCCCAUGAUCACACAUUUGACAAGUGUUUGAAGCCAGAUAUUUGGACCCAGAUCUCUUUUGAGUCCAGAUCCAGGCCUCUUCUUAUUGAACUAGACACAAUGCCUGUUAUGCUUUCCAUUGUAUUUUGUAGGAAAAGACUUUUUUUCUUUCUCACUUCCUACUCUCGAUCCUCUUCUCCUCGGCCUCACCAGAAGCUAUACCAAAGAUCAUACUUUAGUAGAGGCUUAACUUCUUUCAUCUCUGGAAAUUCCAUCUGACAAUCAGACUGCCCCAACUAGCCCACACUUCACUCUAUUUCCAGCCAUCUAUUUCCCUAGAACCUCAUUCAUCAUCCUUGUCACUUUUUAGACCAAAGGGACCCUCCGUGGUUAGCACUCCCUGUGUGUGUUGCCUCCACAAAUGAGAAAGAAAGUUUCUGGAGGACAAAGACUGCCUUUUUUUUUUUUUGCAUUUCCAUCCCCAAUACUUAGCACUUUUUUGGCCACAGAAGGAGUGCUUAAUAAAUGCUUUUUCAUUCAUUUAUUCACUUCUUUGAGUCAUACUUCAGUGAAUUAUUCUUCUACACCCAGCAAAGCCCAUUCUAGAUUUAAAAAAUGUCACAAGAAGAUUGUGGUUUUGAGGAAACCAUGGUCAGAGAUCCAAUUCUCAGGGGAACUGGUAAGUUUUACUUUGUUCUGUAGCCAGAAAUUAUUUUCCUGGGCUUCAAAUAACUGCAUAGACUCAGUAAGUGUAAACUGGAAUGAAGAUAUGACUAGUUCAGUAGGAGGGGAAGCAGUUUGUUAUAAAGUGGAAAAAUUAGGUUUAAUAUUUUACUUUAUUUGUAAAAGCUCUUACCUUCUAUCUUAGAAUUGAUACUAAGUGUGGGUAAAAGAGCAGAAAUGGCUAGGCAACUGGAGUUAAGUGAUUUAUAUAGGGUCACAGAGCUAGAAAGUGUCUGAGGUCAGAUUUAAACCCAGGCCCUAUCCUCUCCAGGCUUAGCUCUCUAUUCACUGAACCACCUAACUCCCCCAGGUUAACAUUUUUACUUUCUUUUUCUUUAUAAUUAAAGGCUGUAGCUAAACAUUUUUUCUUAUUAGCUGUAUGACCAAGCACAAGUUACCUGACCUCUCUGAAUCUUAAUUUCCUAAUAUACAAAAUUGGACUAGUGAUACUUAUAUUUCUUUCCCAGGGGGUUGAGUGGAAAGGGAUUUGCAAACCUUAAAAUGCCAUAAAAAUGUUAUCACUAUUGUGGGACCAUAGCUAACAUAUGAAUUGAGAAGGAAAAUUUGCAUAUACUAUAUAUAAAAUUAAUUUAUGACAGUAAAUUUAGUUUCCAAAGUUUAUAUGCAAUAAAUUUUACUGCUCUCAAAUCAUGCAGCUUUAUUCUUUACUACUAGAAAGAAUAUUUAUCACUUCUUCAGCAACCAUUUCCUGAGCAUCGCUUAUGAAGUAGGCAGUCCCUAUUAGAUACUGAAGGAUGCAAAGAACAUUAAAAUAUGGUUCCUGUUUUUAUGUAAUGUAAAAACUAAUGAUGAAUAUUAAAGAGUUUAUAAAGUCUAUGAACUCACAUUGGGACAAGUUUCUAAAACGCUAGAAUUUAAAUGGAAAAUCUUCACCCUGGUUAUAAUUAUCUUACUGAUGAAAUCAUCAUAAUAAACACAAUCACAGGAACAUGUUGCUAGGAGCACUUCCUGGCCAGUAUAUUUGUUUAUCUAUAAUAUUUUUAUGCUAAU